rnacentral:rRNA from 1 species
UGAGUGAUGAAGGCCUUAGGGUUGUAAAGCUCUUUCGCACGCGACGAUGAUGACGGUAGCGUGAGAAGAAGCCCCGGCUAACUUCGUGCCAGCAGCCGCGGUAAUACGAAGGGGGCUAGCGUUGUUCGGAAUUACUGGGCGUAAAGGGCGCGUAGGCGGCCUGUUUAGUCAGAAGUGAAAGCCCCGGGCUCAACCUGGGAAUAGCUUUUGAUACUGGCAGGCUUGAGUUCCGGAGAGGAUGGUGGAAUUCCCAGUGUAGAGGUGAAAUUCGUAGAUAUUGGGAAGAACACCGGUGGCGAAGGCGGCCAUCUGGACGGACACUGACGCUGAGGCCGCGAAAGCGUGGGGAGCAAACAGGAUUAGAUACCCUGGUAGUCCACGCCGUAAACGA